AGAAUCUGAAACAACUUACUUACAAUUAGUCAGAGCGCGUUAAUGCGUGAUGGCGUACAUCUUGCAGUAUGGACCGGCGAGUUAUGUUAACAUGCGAGGUUAAGUGGAUAAAAGCGGAGCCGUAGAGAAAUCGAGUCUUAAUAGGGCGCUUAGUAUGUUGACAUAUACCCGAAACCAUGUGAUCUAUUCAUGAGCAGGCUGAAGCUUGGAUAACACCAAGUGGAGGGCCGAACCGUAGUACGCUGAAAAGUGCCCGGAUGACUUGUGAAUAGCGGAGAAAUUCCAAUCGAACUUGGAGAUAGCUGGUUCUCCUCGAAAUAGCUUUAGGGCUAGCGUGUGAUGUUAAACUUUGGUGGUAGAGCACUGAAUAUGGAAUGGCCGCGCCUAGCGGUACUGACUAUAAUCAAACUCCGAAUACCAUUGUGUAUUAUCAUGCAGUCGGAACCGGGGUGCUAACGUCCCGGCUCGCGAGGGCAACAACCCAGAUCGUCGGCUAAGGUCCCAAAAUCGUGUUAAGUCAGAAAGGUUGUGAGUUUUCAUAAACAACUAGGAGGUUGGCUUAGAAGCAGCCACCCUUUAAAGAGUGCGUAAUAGCUCACUAGUCAAGAGAACUUGCGCCAAUAAUGUAACGGGAGUAAAACACGAUACCGAAGCCACGGGUACGAAAGUACGUUAGAGGAGCGUUCUUAGUGCGGCGAAGUCAGACCGUGAGGACUGGUGGAGCGCUAAGAAGUGAGAAUGCCGGUAUGAGUAACGAUUUGAGGUGAGAAUCCUCAACGCCUAUUGGGAAAGGUUUCCUGGGGAAGGUUCGUCCACCCAGGGUUAGUCAGGACCUAAGGAGAGGCCGAAAGGCGUAUCUGAUGGACAACAGGUUAAUAUUCCUGUACUGGCU
rnacentral:rRNA from 1 species